UAACAAGGUUUCCGUAGGUGAACCUGCGGAAGGAUCAUUAACGAGCU
rnacentral:rRNA from 4 species